ensembl:snoRNA SNORA58 small nucleolar RNA, H/ACA box 58
GGGCAUACUCGUAGACCUUGCCUGACUGUGCUCAUGGCCAGGCAGGGGGGACAGUGUAUGCAAGAAUAAUUUGGAGUUCCUGCCAGCUCUAAGCAGCUUCAUCAGUGGCUGGAUAAAUUGCAGGACUCUAAACAUUU